UGAACACUGCACGGGAGCUGCGUUGCAGCUGAGAUGCCGGUUGACGGCGAACCGUAGAACCUGAUCCGGGUAAUGCCGGCGCGAGGAAGGAAGAUUAUGACGAAGA
rnacentral:ncRNA from 1 species